ensembl:lncRNA
CUGGGAACAUGGCUGCAGACAUGGCCCUAGUGCUCAUUGCGGGGCUGAAGUUGCAGCCUGGAUGUUGCACAGGGCACUCACUGGCAGGACGAGGAGCCGUGAUGGUUCUGUGCCACCAAAUUUUACACUGGGUACCCAGACCUCAUUAACAGGAGUGAGAUGAUUGUGUGUGAGUGGGGGGCCCACCUCUGAGCCAUGCUCCCCUGCUUGUAUAUUCAGCUGUGGACUCACACGUUAAGCUCCCCCUCCACUGGAGCCCAAGCACCAUCCCUGCUGCCUUCUGAGCAGGAGGAAGGGCCAGCGCUGUGUCCUCAAUUCCUUGGACUCCCAGGGGUUCCUCCAACACCAGAACAUGGGCACAAGGCACACCAGUGCCCUACUACCCCAGUGCAUCACCAGCAGCCUCGCCCCCCAUGGCCGCCAGCACUCCCCAUCCCCUUGCAGCCCCUCACCCCUUGCAGCUCUCUGACAGCAGCCUCCUGCCGCAGAGCAGCCUCCAGGAGCAGAUGGAGGCAGGAUGGAGCCCGCCGGAGAUACUGACCACAUCUGCUCCUGCCUGGUCCAGGGAGCAGCGAUGCACUGUGCCGAAGCCUCUCAGGGCAGAUGGAAGGAGAACGCCUCCGCUGUGGUCAGUCCCUGAAGACAAAGUGGAUGCUGCUGGCACACUGGAAUGACGGCACGGGUUUGCUGACGGUUUUGCAUGGGAGCAUCGGUUGGGUUUACACCUACAAGUGCUUGGCUAUGGCAGCGGGGCAUCCCAUGGAAAGGCCAAAAAGCAGCAGAGAGAUCCAGGGAAGGAGGAGAUGGCACACGCUGCAAGCCUGUUCUCUGCCAGCGACGCUGCUGGGAGCACGGACACCCAUAGUGGAGCCAGCAGCUGGGGACAGCUCACAGGAGAGGAAAAAAAUGGAGCCAAGGAUGGCACUGUCUCUUUAAAAAUAAAUAAAUAGAUAAAGACUAAAAAAAAAAAAAGAAAGAAAAAAUGCAAUAAGUAUAUGCAAAUGUGUUGAGCCGAACAUCGCUGUCUGUGAAACAGAUGAGGGAGAAAGUGCUUGAAGCUAGAGAGGAAUGAGGCAGCCAGCGCUGACCCCGGGGUUAAUAAUUUUUACUUCUCCAUCUCAUUCCCUCCAUAAAAAAG